rnacentral:rRNA from 3 species
GUACAAUAAGCAAAAUAAGGGCGUAUGGGGGAUGCCUUGGCUCUCAGAGGCGAUGAAGGGCGUGAUAAGCUGCGAAAAGCUACGGGGAUUGGCACACACGAAUAGAUCCGUAGAUACCCGAAUGGGGCAACCCACUAUGUUGAAGACAUAGUACACCGAUAGGUGGGCAAACCCGCUGAACUGAAACAUCUAAGUAGGCGGAGGAGAAGAAAACAAAAGUGAUUCCGUAAGUAGUGGCGAGCGAACGCGGAUUAGCCCAAACCAAUGUUGUUACGGCAAUGUUGGGGUUGUAGGACCACGAGAUUUCUUGCAUAAAGAAUUAGAAUCUACUGGAAAGUAGAGCCAAAGAAGGUGAUAGCCCUGUAUAAGUAAUGAAUGUAAAGGAUAGUGGUAUCCUGAGUAGGGCGGGACACGAGAAAUCCUGUCUGAAUUUGGCGGGACCAUCCGCUAAGGCUAAAUACUCCUGAGAGACCGAUAGUGAACCAGUACCGUGAGGGAAAGGUGAAAAGAACCGUGAAUAACGGAGUGAAAUAGAUCCUGAAACCAUACGCUUACAAGCGGUCGGAGCCCCUUGGUGGGGUGACGGCGUGCCUUUUGCAUAAUGAGCCUACGAGUUAACGUUGCUGGCAAGGAUAAGUGGUUAAGCCACGGAUCCGUAGCGAAAGCGAGUCUGAAUAGGGCGCUUUAGUCAGUAGUGUUAGACGCGAAACCGUGUGAUCUACCCAUGGGCAGGUUGAAGCUGUGGUAACACACAGUGGAGGACCGAACCGGUUGACGUUGAAAAGUCUUCGGAUGACCUGUGGGUAGGGGUGAAAGGCCAAUCAAACUCGGAAAUAGCUCGUACUCCCCGAAAUGCAUUUAGGUGCAGCGUUAUGCGUAAAGUUAUAUAGAGGUAGAGCUACUGAUUGGAUGCGGGGGCUUCACCGCCUACCAAUUCCUGACAAACUCCGAAUGCUAUAUAAUGUUUCAUAACAGUGAGGGCUUGGGUGCUAAGGUCCAAGUCCGAGAGGGAAAGAACCCAGACCAUCAGCUAAGGUCCCCAAAUAUAUACUAAGUUGAAAGAACGAGGUUUGUCUGCCCAGACAGCUAGGAUGUUGGCUUGGAAGCAGCCAUUCAUUUAAAGAGUGCGUAACAGCUCACUAGUCGAGCGGACGAGCAUGGAUAAUAAUCGGGCAUAAGUAUAUUACCGAAGCUAUGGAUUUCAUAUUAAAUUAUGGAGUGGUAGGGGAGCAUUCUAACAGGGUAGAAGGUGUGUCGUAAGGCAUGCUGGACUGGUUAGAAAAGAAAAUGUAGGCAUAAGUAACGAUAAUGCGGGCGAGAAACCCGCACACCGAAAGACUAAGGUUUCCACAGCUAUGCUAAUCAGCUGUGGGUUAGUCGGGACCUAAGGCGAACCCGAAAGGGACAGUCGAUGGACAACGGGUUAAUAUUCCCGUACUAGUUAUUACUGUGAUGGGGUGACGGAGUGAUGAAAGCGCCGCGAACUGACGGAAUAGUUCGUUGAAGUACCUACCUAUAAGCUGCGCAGGCAAAUCCACGCGGCUUGGGGAAAUACGAUAGUACUCGGCGUCUUCGGACAAAGAGAUAGUGCGCCUAAGGGCUUCCAAGAAAAACCUCUAAACUUCAGGUAAUAAGUACCCGUACCGCAAACCGACACAGGUAGUCGAGGAGAGAAUCCUAAGGUGCUCGAGAGAUUCAUGGCUAAGGAAUUAGGCAAAAUAGACCCGUAACUUCGGGAGAAGGGUCGCCAGCAGCAAUGCUGGCCGCAGUGAAGAGGUCCAGGCGACUGUUUAUCAAAAACACAGGGCUCUGCAAAAUCGUAAGAUGAAGUAUAGGGCCUGACACCUGCCCGGUGCUGGAAGGUUAAGAGGAGAUGUUAUCUUCGGAGAAGCAUUGAAUUGAAGCCCCAGUAAACGGCGGCCGUAACUAUAACGGUCCUAAGGUAGCGAAAUUCCUUGUCGGGUAAGUUCCGACCUGCACGAAUGGUGUAACGAUCUGGACACUGUCUCAGCCAUGAGCUCGGUGAAAUUGUAGUAGCGGUGAAGAUGCCGCUUACCCGCAGUGGGACGAAAAGACCCUGUGCACCUUUACUAUAGCUUAGUAUUGACCUUGGAUAAAUGAUGUGUAGGAUAGGUUGGAGACUGUGAAGUGGCGUCGCUAGGCGUUGUGGAGUCAUUGUUGAAAUACAACCCUUUGUUUAUCUGAGGCCUAACCCCGUA